UACGGGGGGGGCAAGCGUUGUUCGGAAUUACUGGGCGUAAAGGGCUCGUAGGCGGCCAACUAAGUCCGACGUGAAAUCCCCAGGCUUAACCUGGGAACUGCGUCGGAUACUGGAUGGCUUGAAUUCGGGAGAGGGAUGCAGAAUUCCAGGUGUAGCGGUGAAAUGCGUAGAUAUCUGGAGGAACACCGGUGGCGAAGGCGGCGUCCUGGACCAACACUGACACUGAGGAGCGAAAGCCAGGGGAGCAAACGGG
rnacentral:rRNA from 1 species